ensembl:lncRNA
UUUUAAACUUUGCCUUUGUUUUCUUUUAUUUAUCUUUAUUAUUUAGUUACAUUUUGUUGUAGGACGAUGGUUCUAUGUGAAGCACUUUGGGUCUGCCUCGUGUAUGAAAAGUGCUAUAUAAAUAAAGUUGCCUUGCCUACACUGAAUUGUGUAGGCUGCCUUGCCACACUGUUCUACAUGGAACCCGUCCCCUGGCGUCAACCAGGGAAAUGCAACUAACACAAACGACACACCUCUAGGAUUUCAUCUAAUAGGAUUUUGAUAUUCCUGAAGAGAACUGCAAAAGUAUAUCACUGAAAACAAGAAAACCGCUGGAAACCAAUUUCUGUUCUGUUUUUUCUAUUCUCCAGACCAGAGGAUCGUUGCCAGCUUUAAGGUUGUGCUUCAUGUCAACCCAAUGCAAGCCAUACCCAUGCAAAUCUGAAAGGGUGGCAUGAACCUAGGGUGGGAUCCCAACGGGGCACCCGUUCAGAUGUCCCAGCCCCUCACCACAGGGCAGAUGAACAUCAACCCAUGUACCUCCAUGGCCGAGCGACGUGCCGCAGGUACCAAUGGCUACAAUAGGAUGGACUCCACUGCCACCGUUUGGGUGUCCCCUGCAUCGAUUCCAACGCCAUACUUCCCCGCCAGUACUGUUGGACCCAAGGAACUUGCUCAUAAUGGGGGACGCAUCACAGCUCUGUCUCCUCCACCCUCGGAGGACCAUGGCGUGUUGAGGAGGGUCCAUCAGCAGCAGAGGCAGAAUCCUCAUGUUAGGGCAACGCAUAACCUACCACCAUUAGUCGAAUCACACUAUCAACAUUCAUGGUCACAGAAGGGCCAAUCAAGGAGGGAGGUUUGUGAGUGGAGUAAGUCUGCUCAGAAAAACUGUAGACUGACUGGCAGCUUGGCCGGUGAUGAGGACGACGGUCCAGAUUCACAGUGUGGGCGCAGACGUCAAGAACUUAAAUUGGGAGGAGAGAUCUCUGCCUUAAAGCGGCACCAACCACUGCACUCGUUUGAACAGAGUGAGCGUCGCCCCAGUGUUCCAGCAGUAAGCACAUCAUCUGCAUCACAGUUAGUGAGUACACAUAGUCAGGAUCCUUCUUCAGUUGGGAAAGAGCAUUGCUCUCACACCCCUUGCCCUGUUCCACACCCAGCUCACCUUAAGCUCAAAGCAAUGAGCAAAAAUAAACGUUUUACUGAUGCCCACAUUCAUGAUUUCCUUAUGGAAAGAGUGUCUAACAUAAUGGCGGGACGGACCCAGUGUGGCGGGAGCAAGGGUGCAGAACGGACACAUUGUUUGAGUUCCAGUACCUUAAAUGUAUGCCUGCCAAGCAAGCAGAACACUGGUUCAUUACAUUUGAAAAUAGACGAAUCAGCACCCCGGCAUGUCACCUCUACCGCAUCAUCGGAGGAAAUCUGCGUUUCUUCUGCCGGGAGUGCUGGUAGUCCAGCUCUCGACUGCAACGGGAAUGAGAAGUGGUCCACUGCGUUCGGAAAAGGGAUUCAAGAGAAGCAAUCAGCGUUGACUCGUAAUGUUUUAAAGCAAGAUGGCCAACCUAAACCAGAAAAGGACUCCACAGAAUACCCGAAAAUUAUGAUGCUCGCUGCGGAGGUUUGUGCAAAGAACGACAACGAGAAUCCAGUGAUUCUCUCUGCACUCUCAGGAACAACCCCAAAGGAGUUCAUAGAGCAGCGAGCUGCCUCAGAGGUUGAAAACGGUGCGACACAAGGACACAAGUACACCUCCUCAUGGCUAAUCGCCAACUGCCUCGAGGAUCGAGCCAAAGAGCCAGGCGCUCUGCACCCCGUCUCGUACGUGGGUCACCCGGAGGCGCGAGAAACGGGGACUCUGAGUUUAGUGAAUAAUUGGCAAGCAGGGAAGACUAACACAGAAAUGGACAUGGCCAAAUCAAUACAAAUGUCAUGCAAAGAAGAACACUGGUUUAAAAGCCAGAGUUAUGAAUACAUUUCAGAAGACGACAUUCAAAAUGGCGAAGACAUUCUGGCUCUGGAUUUGCAGUCAAAUAGGCUUCCCUCUGAAACCACAAUUGGAAAUUUGAGUGGCGCUUCCUCUAAAUAUUGCCCCGUCUAUGAAGAUAUCUCUGAAACACAAAUUUCCACAGAUGUAUGUUUAAUCAUAGAUGAGCCGUCGGGGACACAACUGUCAAACAAUGUCAGACAACCUAUCAAAUCUGGGAGUCCCACAAAUGUCCCGGCCCUUUCAAAACAUUUGUUUAAUUCCGCAAGGCAGUCUCGUGACGGAACCUCAAAUGGUGACAAAACUGGUUUGAUUCCUGGUUUGUUACCUGAGGUUCAUGCAGGUCGUUCUCUGCAGCAGGAAGUCAUUUACAUUAGUUCAGACGAGGAUACAAUGGACCUUUCUACUGAAGAAGAUGGAUCUACCGAUACUGAAAUUCAAGAGAAGGUGACUGAAGCCAUAAGCCCCAUGGUUGAAGAGGAGGAUGCUGAAGAGGAUUGGCUGAUGAUUCCGGUGGCAAUAGCAUACCUUGCAUUUGUUGAAGCGAAUGUAAACCAUGUCUCCCAAGCAAAAACCCAAUCUAGUGGUAAAAAUAUGCUGCCUUCAACAACCAAAAAACCUUUGCCAACUUCUCCCAUGAGGCAGUUGGAAGUGUUUGAUACCCUUGAUAGCUUUCUACGAGAAAAGGCUUGCCUAAAUCCCUGUAGCAAUAAAGAUUCUCAGAUUAUAAUUGUUUCUGAUGAUCUCCCUGUGCCAACACCCACAGAAGGCAUCCCAGCAGAAUCAAGUAAUGGAAACAUUGUUCUCCGGUGCAGAGAAAGAUCCAGUUCAUGUGACACCGAAGACAGCAGUGACUACUCGUCCUCGGAGUCCAAUUGCAACUAUUUAACAGUGUCCCCUCAGUGCUGGGAAGACGGAAAUCUCUCCAAAUCACUGAAGAAGAAGAAGAGGAAAACGUGUGAAAAAUUAUAUUCUGCCAAACGGCCUCGUACAAUCACAUUCUCUGACGGCACGGAUGACAGCUGUGUGUUCGAAGUGGAGAUGGAAACGAGCCUGGAGACGGAUGUACCCAUGACACCUGAACCUAAAAGCAGCCCGAUAGAAUCUGAAGGUGAUUGCAGUUCUGUUGAAUUUAAAAAAGCUCCAACAAAAUGUCAUGCAAAAACCGAUCAAACAGCCAUUCUAAAAGGACUAAAGAAACUAACCGAUGAAGGAGCCAAGUUAAAACGCAGAGGUGCAAAGGGCUUGAGGUUGUCUGAAUCGGAGGACGGGGGAGAUGAUUUCCCAGUUCUACGAAUUGGACAUUUGGCUGAAGGUCACAGGUAUCCAGUAAAGGGGCCUCAACAAAGGGCAUUCCUUGACUUGGAGAUUGACCAAAAGCCCCCCUGUGUGGCUGGAGCAGAGGAGCGGGUCUCAACUAGUCAUGAACUCCCAAAACCCAAUCCCAUAAUCCCUCGCUUGUUUUUCAAGAUGCCUUCUGAACAAAGUGAUCCAGUGACACUGAUGGCAGAAUUGACCAUCCCUAAGAACAAAAGAGAUGACUACAGACUCUCGAAACGAACCAAGAAAAACAAUCCGGUUACUUCUGCUAACGGACAACCAAAAUAUAAGACGAGAGAUGAGAAAUUACGUUCUGAGAAACGUAAAAUGCUCGAUGGCCCAAUCGGAGAACAGAAAGUAAAUGCAUUUAAUUCCGGGCAACAUGUGACCUCCAAUAAACCAACAUCAGUUUCAAAGGACCACCUGAUUAUCCCAAAGCAACUGACGACGUCCACGGCAGCGCUUCAGAAGUACAAGGCUCAUUCCACGGCUAGCACAGAGCCACCCAGGACAGCGUCCUCUCGUGGCCCAGAGCGAUCCAGGAAAACAUCCUCUAGUGGUGGCAAAGAGACACCCAGGACAGCAUCCUCUCGUGGCAAAGGGCCACCCAGGACAGCAUCCUUUAGUGGCCCAGAGCCACCCAGGACAGCAUCCUCUAGUGGUCCAGCACCAUCCAGGACAGCAUCCUCUAGUGGUCCAGCACCAUCCAGGACAGCAUCCUCUAGUGGCCCAGAGCCACCCAGGACAGCGUCCUCUAGUGGCCCAGAGCCACCCAGGACAGCAUCCUUUAGUGGUCCAGCACCAUCCAGGACAGCAUCCUCUAGUGGUCCAGCACCAUCCAGGACAGCAUCCUCCAGUGGCCAAGAGCCACCCAGGACAGCGUCCUCUAGUGGCCCAGAGCCACCCAGGACAGCGUCCUCUAGUGGCCCAGAGCCACCCAGGACAGCAUCCUUUAGUGGUCCAGCACCAUCCAGGACAGCAUCCUCUAGUGGUCUAGUACCAUCUAGGACAGCGUCCUCUAGUGGUUCAGCACCACCCAGGACAGCAUCCUUUAGUGGUAUACCGCCAUCCAGGACCGCAUCCUCAGGUGACCAUAACAAUCAGUCCACAUUGGAAACCAGUCCAUACUUCAGCUGCCACUCAACCCAUACCAAAAAACGAAUCUCUCACUACGUUCGCAGAGCCGACAAGACAAAGGAUUCUGUUCGUCCAAAGCCGUCCCUUCUCACCGAAACAGCUCCCAGUUCCAGUAAAGGGCAGUUGAAAUCCAGUAUGAUCUCAAAAUCCUCUAAAGCCGGAAGAUAUUCUAUAGAUUCUAAAAGAGUCACACUCUCAGACGCUUCUGGGAGCACAAAGGAGUCGGCAAGGCAACAGAUCCGCAAAGAAUUGAGGGAAAAGAAAAAUAAUCUGGAUAUUUCUGCUAACGCACAACCCAGAAAUGAGACGAGAGACAAGAAACUACGUUCUGAGAAACGUAGAAUGCUCGAUGGCCCAAAUGGAGAACAUAAAGUAAAUGCAUUUAAUACCGGGCACCACGUGAGCUCCAGUAAAUCGACAUCAGUUUCAAAGGACCACCUAAUUACCAAAAAACAACUGACGACGUCCACAGCAGCGCUUCAGAAGUACAAGAGUCAUUCCAUGGCUAGCACAGAGCCACCCAGGACAGCGUCCUCUAGUGGCACAGAGCCACCUAGGACAGCGUCAUCUAGUGGCAAAGAGCCACCCAGGACAGCGUCAUCUUGUGGCAAAGAGACACCCAGGACAGCGUCCUCUAGUGGCCCAGAGCCACCCAGGACAGCGUCCUCUAGUGGCCCAGAGCCACCCAGGACAGCGUCAUCUAGUGGCAAAGAGCCAUCCAGGACAGCGUCCUCUAGUGGUCCAGCACCAUCCAGGACAGCGUCCUCUAGUGGCACAGAGCCACCCAGGACAGCGUCAUCUAGUGGCAAAGAGCCACCCAGGACAGCGUCAUCUAGUGGCAAAGAGCCACCCAGGACAGCGUCAUCUUGUGGCAAAGAGACACCCAGGACAGCGUCCUCUAGUGGCCCAGAGCCACCCAGGACAGCGUCCUCUAGUGGCCCAGAGCCACCCAGGACAGCGUCAUCUAGUGGCAAAGAGCCAUCCAGGACAGCGUCCUCUAGUGGUCCAGCACCAUCCAGGACAGCGUCCUCUAGUGGCCCAGAGCCACCCAGGACAGCGUCCUCUAGUGGCCCAGAGCCACCCAGGACAGCGUCCUCUAGUGGCCCAGAGCCACCCAGGACAGCGUCAUCUAGUGGCAAAGAGACACCCAGGACGGGGUCAUCUAGUGGCACAGAGCCACCCAGGACAGCGUCCUCUAGUGGCCCAGAGCCACCCAGGACAGCGUCAUCUAGUGGCAAAGAGCCACCCAGGACAGCGUCAUCUAGUGGCAAAGAGACACCCAGGACCGCAUCCCCAGGUGACCAUAACAAUCAGACGACGACGGAUUCCAUUCACCAGAAGCCGUCCCAUCUCAUCUGUUCCAGUAAAGGGCAGUCGAAUUCCAGUAUGAUCUCAAAAUCCUCUAUAACCGGCAGACAUUCUACAGAUUCUAAAAGAGACACAUUCUCAGACCCUUCUGGGAGCACAAAGGAGUCGGCAAGGCAACAGAUCCGCAAAGAAUUGAGGGAUAACUAUGUCUCAACCAGAAAAUCACUGCAGGACAUGCUCUGGGCCAGAGGACACAAGGCAACAUGCGUCCAAGCAGAAGAACACUGCGUCCGCCACCCCGCUGAUGAAGAGGACCAAGAAUCAGGCGAUGCGGAUGCCAAGCGGUUGGCCUCAGCGGAACAUCUCCGCGGAAGUCCCCAGGAGCGAGGUAUGCGGAUUCAGCUAUUAAUUUAUUAAUUUAAAGUCUGUUUUAACAUGAAAUAGUUUGUCUGUAUUCACAAGCGGUUC